AGAGGAUAGCAUUGCAGGAUGGACGGUAGACUUCCAAUCCUCCUGUUACUCGUGUGGCACGCCCUCGUCACCCAGGGACGCCAUGCCAGAGAAGCUGCAGGAUGUGGAUUCAACGGACAGGUUUACCUAAAUGGCCAGAAAUUACCUGGAUGUCUUGGCGUGUAUUGCAGCCAAGGAGCGUGGAUUCCAAAUGGAAAAGUUAGCCCAGACUAUACAGAGAUGCGCAACUUCACUGAGCAUCUGGGCACCCAGAGAGUUCCAGAAAUCAUUGUUCGGUCUAUGCGGCUACUACGACGGUGAACCCGCCAACGACUUCACCAAGCGGGAUCUUUCCUCGUCUCCCUCGCAAACUUUCCUGACAGAUGUCGAGUUCCUUGAGUCA